GCCGAACGGUCAUGCGUCCGACGCCUGACCGACGGGGGAACCACUUGCGAGCCUCGGCUCGCGGGGGCGAAUCGGUCGCAGCUCGGACCGUAGCGGUGCUUCGGCAUCGCGAGCCCGUCAGCUCACCUCGUAGGC
rnacentral:sRNA from 2 species